UCUCUGUAGAAGCUAAUAUGUUAAAGCUUUAUUUCUCUAGAUUCUUUAAAAUAAAGUACUGAAUGAAAUCUCUGGUUGUGCGCGCGCUCUACGUGAACGCGCAUGACGCAAAAGCGUCAAGGUUACAGGGUCCAGUGGCGUCCAGGUUUAAAGGAAAAUGCUUAUGUUUAAAGGCAGUGGUCUGGAUGCUGGUGACCCCAUGACAUGAAACAUCUGGCAAACUCACAGGUGUGAACUACACACAGCUGAGGCUGACCA